UUUCCUUGGGUUUAUCUAAAUCAUUGCUUGUGUCAGUAGUUCUUUUUUAUUGCUAACUAGUGUUCCACGGUACUGUUUUUCCUUUCUGUGAAAGGAAAUCUGCAGUUUCUAGAUUUGGCAGUUACAGACACAGCUAUUGUAUAUACUUGUUCAAAACUUUCUUCAUACAAAUAAGUUUGCAUUUCAUCAGGAUAGGCAUGCAAAAGUGUAAUGGCUGGGCUGUGAUGCAGAGUUCCUUUUCAGUUUUGAAAGGAGCUUCCAAACCGUUUUUCCAGAGCAGCUGUCCCGUUCUCCACUUCUGCCGCUGCGUAUGAGCGGCUGUUUGCUGUGCAGCCUUCUCAGUGUUUGGUGGUGUCGCUGUUUGCUGUUUUAGCCACUUAUCAGAUCUUAGGUAGGUUUCGUUGGAUCUGUACCUUUAAUAUUCUUGGGAGCAGCUGUAAAUGCAAAUGUGCUUUUCUUUCAGGGUCAAAUGUUUGGCGGCAGUGUCUGUGUGACCCCUCGGUGCUCGGUAAUUAUGUGAAUUUUGGGGUAGAUUUCUUGAGGUUUCCUCAGUGAUCCUGGCAUCUGCAAGCGAGAGGUUGUUUCCAAGAUCUGGCUAUUACCAAUUGUGGUGCUACGAACACGAGUGCACAUAUAUUGCUAUGGUAUGAUGUUUUUAAUUCUUUUGGGAAGAUAUCCAGAAGGGAAACAGCUGGGUCGAAUGGGAACUCUCAUCCUAGUUUUUUGAGGCAUCUCCACACUGGUUUCCACAGUUGUUGCACCAGCCUACACUCCCACCAACAGUAUAGUAUGUGUUUUAAAUAUAUGGUUAAAUUACAUUUCAUUAUUUUAUUCUCCCUGACAUCUACUCUGUUAGAUGUAGAAUCCGGAGUGGAGCUGUUUAUAAAAAGCAACCCAGUGUGCUGGGCCCCGGCUGUGCCUAUGCUGUCUCGCUAGGUACUGAAAUCCACUAAGGGAAAGGACCUCCAGCACCCCACUUUGUAAAGCCAGGCAUGAGAGUUAAAUAACUUACCCAGGCAUGUUUCCCAAGUGGCCGGGCCUUUCUGACUCCCCACCUCCGUCUGCCCCUGGAAUCUCCUUUCUGCCCCUGCUUCUGUCGCUUCUCACCUCACCUCUGUGGUGGACACAGAAUCCCCAAGCCCGGGUGGUCCCGAGGCGUCCACACGGCCUUCUCCCUGCCUGGCUUGGUGAUGGCCCCAAGCACUCCGCUGACAUCCUGCAGGGCCCCCAGUGCUUUACCCUCGCCUGCCCUCUUCUCCGUGCUGGCUCUGAGGCUCAGCUUCUAGACCCAGAGGUCAGAUGGCCGCUCCUCCCUCGCUCCCGCCUUGGCUGGCAGGAUGUUCAACCCUGUCCUCCACCACCGGUGCUGCUGGGACCCACUAGCCCACUCUCCUGCCUUGGGUUCCACUGUUGCACCUGCAGGCACCUGCAGAUGGAAAGAUGCAUCUGCAUUGCACAUGCGCAGGCCUUUCUCCUUUUUCUGUUCCCUAAAUAAUUUAGUAGACCAGCUGUCUGUCUUAGUGUUUUCGUUCCCUUGAGCACCAUAAAUGAUCUAGCGUGGCUUAACAUGUAGGAAGGAUGUGUGUAAACCACGCAGCUUUACAUGGUGCAUCCUUCAGUUUGGACACGCAUGAAGCCAGUCCCCUGUGGAUCCCGAGGGCCGCUGGGUAUGGCCCCUUUCCCUAGAUCCUGAGCUGCCGGAGAGCCCCGGUCCUACAGGGGCUCAUGUUCUACAGGUGUCGGUUGAGCACUGAAUUCGGUGUGGUCUCCUCUAGCAGGGGAUGGUGUUCUGGCUGGCAGGGAGUUGCUGUCAUGUGCUUACUUUGAAUUUGCUUCCAUCUAGGCGAGCACUUGCCUGGAUUGGCUCUUGAGGACUGAUUGGGGAAUCCUCGGAAAAUUCCCAGACCGAAGUUGUCCGACCCACAGCCUGCUGCUUUGUCCAGUGGGCCAGUGUGUGGCCGUUCCACAGAGGCAGCAGGGAAAGGGCACCCGAGCUGGUCCUCAGAGUCGGUGCCGCGGGCUUUUAGCCAGCACUUGGGUGCUUCCUGUCCGGCAGUUAAUCAGUCCCUUUUCCCCAAAUCUAGACACACCAGCUCUACAGAUGUCACUGCUGUCAGAGCAGUGUUCGUGGCUUGUUCUGAGCUCAGCUGCUGAGUACCGCUUGCUGCUGUGCUCGCCCCUCUGGGGUCCUAAAGCUGGCAUUUGUCAUGUGAAUGUGUGUGGGCACAGCUGGUCAGGCUGACCCCACUUGGAAAGUGAGCCUUGCGACUUCCAGACAUUGUGGCCUCAUUUAAGUUCUUAAUACCGAGCGUUCUGCUCGGUUUCUGUGCCUUGAUUUUGCCACCCAUAACCAAGGACUUAACGUGGGAUCUUUGGAGGAUUUGAGGUGAGGCAGAGGGCAUGCAGGAGAGGUGGCUGGAGAGGUGCUGGCUGGUGCAGAUGAGUGUUCCUCUGGCGGGCUGUGAACUCCACUUGCCAUCUCAGACUUGGGAUAUUUGGAACCAGGUGGUCCAGUGGCUUGGAAUGGGAAGAGUUCCCUGAAAGCCUGGGGCCUCCGGGAAUUCUGUGCCCAGUAUUGAGCUCAGAGAGCCCUCUAGUGGCUGACAUGGGAAGGUGCAGGCUCAGAGAUGCCUAGAGCAGGGGAAUGGCUUGUGUGGGGUGCAGGGUUCAGCCUGGGUGUUGCCUUGCAUUCCAGAGCAAAGUGCUGGCUCUGAGCCCCCUCUAGGAGCCCUGAGGUGAGGAGCCUGAGGUGAGGUAGUUCACUAUUUUGCAGACCAUUUGGGGCGCUGGACAGUUUCUUUUUUAGCUGAAUCAUUAUAUAUCUUCAUAUAUGUUAGAAAAAAAUAGUAAUUCUCAAAUCCUUUGGUUUAUGGAUAUUAUCAUUUUAAGGCAAAUAAAAAUUUUACUUGAGACCAUAAAUACAUUUAAAGGAAAAUAUUAAGUUGCUACAGUAGAGAUGGUAUGCUUUCAGGGCAAAACCAACAACAACAAAAAACCAUAAAAGUGGUAAAGAAAGCAAUAAUUUUGUCAACAUGAAACUAGAUUAUUCAUAGAUUCCCACAUGAUGCUUUCUGAACCUGUUAACUGCUGGCAUUAUGUGCUUUCCUAACGGUGGGUGUGCUCUUGUGCUUCAGUGAGCUCUCUACAUUUGCAGUUGUUUCUUACAACAAGAUUAGCGGACAGCUGUUGUUUACUGUCUUCAUUUUACGGAGAGAAAUAAACUGAAUUAAACUUUGA